AUCCGCAUCGACGCGGAGAGGGGAGGCCGACGGGACGCGGCAGGCGGCGCGCUCGUGGGCGACGGCACGUGAGCGAGAGGCCGGCGCAGCUGAGCUGAGGAGACGACGCGGCUGGCCAGCAGCGCGGCGGCGCGGCACAGUUUUGACGGCGACUAUCCUCUCCACCGCAUUCUCAUCUGUAAGGGCCGCACUCUCUUCCUUCCCCUCUCUGCUCCUUGGGUUUCUUGUUCUUAGCGCGGAUGGAAGCGGCCGCGGGGUCGGCUCCUAAUAGGCGCGUGCGGUUCGAGGGAUGGGGACGUCGGAGUUCCCCAAUUCGGGGAAGCACUGCAGCGGCGGCAACUGCCACCAGAUCGACUUCCUCUAAUCCCCUUCACCUGCGACCGCUGCGACCACGAUGCAUCGGCAUUUUGGGAGCAACAAGCAUUAUCAGCUAGAGGAUAUACGGCAAGGACAAUUGUCCCUGCCUGCAAUGCAGUGGUAGACAUGUCAACAAACUCAAGAGACCUCAUAGAACGAGAAUUAGCUGCAUUUGGCCAGAGCUUGGAUAAUGUGAAGAAUGCAAUGCCUACACUACUGCAUUGUCGAUCAGUUCAUGCAUUGAUGCUUCCUGAAAUAUUUGUGACUUGUAGUUUUUUUCUUACAAAUAACUUUUCUUGUUACAUGUUCUUCAGCAGAAAUGCAUCUUAUCCAGUUAUCCUCCCAUCCAAAUUAAUGAGUUCUAAGUAAGUUUCUUUCAUAAAAAGGCAAAUAUUCUUCCUGCCAUUUUAAAUAAAAUCAUUGUUUCAUACUUAUACAAAUUAAUCUAUAGCAAAAACAACAAUGAUACAUGUGCACUGUGUCUUGGUAGAUUGCUAACUAGAAGUGCAUUUUUCUAGUUCUGAUUUUCCAGCUAAAUAUCAGAAAGUCAUGUCUGAACAACCAACUAAAGAUCAGAAAGUCACACUCUGUGCAAAUAUGGUAGCUUGUGAAAGAACUGAAAGUGCUUGAUUGCCCUGUAAAAAAAUCCCCUCGCUGUGCUCGCCGCAAGGCUUGGCCCUCUCAGGCAUGGGCCAGGGUUCGGGGGUUUUUUCACGGCCGGGUGAAGCCGUAGUCGCUUCCUCUUAAUGAAAAACGGUGGGGUCUGUUCACCCCCCCGGCCGCUUUUUUUUUCUCAGUUGAGACACAAUCCAAUUGUUAAUGUUUUCAUGUCAGGCCAUCUCAAAUGGUUAUCAGUCAACUAUGCUGCUGGUCAGUAAGUUAGUGAGCUGCUCUGAACAAUCCAUGAUAAUAGCUUGCAUCAGUUCAGUAUUUUGUAACUGUGUGUAAUUUUUUUCCUUAAUAAAUCUGCCUAUCUUGAUGAAAUAAAAUAAUGCUACCUUUUAACAUGACCUUUUAGGUUAUAAAGGAGAUGCACAUAUAUCACAUGCACACACCACUAGCACACAAACCAAAAACUUGACUGUACCUCGGGUCCUGAACUCGAUUUCAGUUUGCACAUAAUGAACUGUCACUCUGUUAGCUGGGUUACAAUAAGUAAAGUUUUUGAACUAACAGGGACUUUCCGGUGCACAAGUAUUAGUUUAAAUUUUAUUAUUAAACUAUAAUUAAGAAAACUUGUUUCCUUUUCUUUGUUUCACUUGUCGAUAAUGCAAUGGCAUUUCCUUCUCAAGUUUGUUGUUUCCUUUCUUCAAUGCAGUGAACUUUGAUGGAAAAAUAAAUACAAAGGUUUUAUAAGAUAGCAUUACAGAUAGUUAGAUAACAUAGUUUUGUUUUCUUAUUUUUACCGUGAAUUAUGUUUUUACUUGUUAAGCUUUCGAUAUCACAGGGGUGCAGCUUCUUUUUCUGAUAAGCCAGGAGCCUUUGCUACUCAAUUGCACAAGUGCAUGCUUGUCUAACUGUUGCUAGUGACAACAUUUUCACUUGCAGACCUAGGUUGGUGCAGCAGUGUUGGCAACAUGGAACCGUGGAUUCAUGGAGAUCUCUUGCGCUUCAGUAGUCAACAUGGAACUACUUCUCUAGCUGAAGCAACUUCAGAUGUCACAACUGGUUCUAUGAUUGGCAGGUCCAGCAAGUGCCAUCACAUUACAGGUGGAUUGGAUGCCGGAGUUGCAUAGGCGGUUCGUGCAGACGGUGGAGCAGCUGGGCAUUGGCAAGAACCUGUCGUCCUAGUUCUCUUUCAUUGUCCAGGCACAAAGAAAAUUACACUAGGAUGUUUUGUUGUAAUGGUUGAUCGAUUGCUAGCGUUCUAUUGUGUUAAGUUAAACUCUAGGAUGAGGAUUUUGUUGCUCAUGGAGUUUGAAAAAGCAUGCUUGAGGCACUUGCCGUAGCUGUGAUAGUCAUUUUUGUGCUUUGUAAAUCAGACCUCCCAUAACAUGUUACAAAUUGAUGUUCUUGUAUUUAUAUGGCUUUAAUUGCUUCA